rnacentral:rRNA from 1 species
AGAGAACGCUGGCGGUAGGCCUAACACAUGCAAGUCGAACGGCAGCACAGGAGAGCUUGCUCUCUGGGUGGCGAGUGGCGGACGGGUGAGGAAUACAUCGGAAUCUACUCUGUCGUGGGGGAUAACGUAGGGAAACUUACGCUAAUACCGCAUACGACCUACGGGUGAAAGCAGGGGAUCUUCGGACCUUGCGCGAUUGAAUGAGCCGAUGUCGGAUUAGCUAGUUGGCGGGGUAAAGGCCACCAAGGCGACGAUCCGUAGCUGGUCUGAGAGGAUGAUCAGCCACACUGGGACUGAGACACGGUCCAGACUCCUACGGGAGGCAGCAGUGGGGAAUAUUGGACAAUGGGCGCAAGCCUGAUCCAGCCAUACCGCGUGGGUGAAGAAGGCCUUCGGGUUGUAAAGCCCUUUUGUUGGGAAAGAAAUCCAGCUGGCUAAAACCCGGUUGGGAUGACGGUACCCAAAGAAUAAGCACCGGCUAACUUCGUGCCAGCCGCCGCGGUAA